rnacentral:snRNA from 2 species
AUCGCUUCUUGGCCUUUUGGCUAAGAUCAAGUGUAGUAUCAGUUCAGUAAUUCAAUUACUCUACCAAGAUAAGGUAAUUAUGCUUAAUUUUGUAAGGUAUACACACU